GUGACAGUGGCAGUGGCAGUUUAAGUUUAGAAUACAAUAACUUGACCGUUUAUUUGGGAACAAUAAGAGAAAAGACCAUGACAUUAGCUAUAGCAAAACUUGGCAAGCUGACCAACCAGCUGUGCAAGAAGAAAAUGUUAGAUUCAUCUCUUCAGCUGGACAGCAAUGAUGUUCUUGAAAUAUUUAAAAUUAUUUGAUAUCCGAAAAGGACAUGUUAAAAAAAUUAUUAUUGUUGUCAAAAAUUGAUAAAAAAAAAAAACACUCUGAAUAACUUUUAUAUUGUGUUUUUUUAAUAAUUACAAGACAGACUGUCAUCGUGAAAGAACUUGGAAUUUUGUAAAUGUAGUGUACAAACGAAAUAUGAUCAACUGGAUAAUUCAUAGCCUGCAUCAAGGAAAUAGGAGGGUGACGCAACAAACUGAAGGAUUCAUACUCUGCAAUCGCAUAAUAGGAGGGUCUGGCAAUACACUGGGGGAGAUUCGUAGACUGUAGCAUUGAUAGAGGAUAGGCGGAUAAAAAAUGAAGUGAACAAGUUGAGAUUAUUAACUAUAAUUGCAUUAAAUUUUAUAAGUAAUGAAUUAUAUUUUCUUAUUUGUUGGAAGAAAUUUCUUCCAAGAAGGAACAUUAAAUGAAGUGAACUUUCUGUGUUUAACAAAUGGG
rnacentral:lncRNA from 1 species